AUAUUGCUUAAAACCAAAAACUAAAUAUUGUACUAAAGUUCAUAAUAAUGCUAAGUGUCGAAUUGGGCACCAAACCAAAAUUGAACUAUCCAUGGACAUCAGAUUUAUAAAGGAUAUAUCCAAGGACGGAACAACCAGGAAAAGGUUUGAGCCAAUUCGAACCAUAUCACAAGUAAAUAUAUCAAAGUGAAUAAAAAAAAUCAGUAACUAAAAUAAGUAAAGAAUUGAACACUUAAUCCAAAAUUGAACUAACAAUGGACACCAGAUUCAUAAUAGUAUAUCCAGAGAAGAACAAUCAGGAAGAUUUAUGGAACAAUUCUCACAAAUGCCAAAUAAUACCAAUAAUAAACAUACCAAAGGAAUCCAAAACUCAAUAACCAAAAUAAAUGUGGAAUUGGACACUUAAUCCAAACUCAGACUAUCAGUGGACACCAGAUUCAUAAAAGCAUAUCCAAAGAAGAAUGACCAGGCAAAUUUAUGGACCAAUUCACACCAAUACUAAACCACAUAAACAGAUCAGGUCUACGUACACCCACAUCCGGUAAUACGAACCUAUCCAACCAAAUACACAAAAUAAAUGAAGAAUCGGACACUUAUCCAGAAUCGGACUAUCAAUGGACACCAGAUUUAUAUAGGAGUAUAUCCAAAGAAGAACGAUCAGGCAAAUUUAUGGACCAAUUCUUACUAAUACUAAAUAAACUAAAUUAUUGGAUCCAAUGGUAACUAAUACUGAACAAAAUAAAUAAAUUAGGUCUACAUACACCCUCAUCCGGUAAUAUGAACCUAUCCAAACUAAGUAAUCCAAAAUAAGUCAGAA
rnacentral:lncRNA from 1 species